rnacentral:rRNA from 1 species
UACGGAGGGGGCUAGCGUUGUUCGGAAUUACUGGGCGUAAAGCGCACGUAGGCGGCGAUUUAAGUCAGAGGUGAAAGCCCGGGGCUCAACCCCGGAACUGCCUUUGAGACUGGAUUGCUUGAAUCCGGGAGAGGUGAGUGGAAUUCCGAGUGUAGAGGUGAAAUUCGUAGAUAUUCGGAAGAACACCAGUGGCGAAGGCGGCUCACUGGACCGGCAUUGACGCUGAGGUGCGAAAGCGUGGGGAGCAAACAGGAUUAGAAACCCCCGUAGUCC